CCUACGGGGUGCAGCAGUGAGGAAUAUUGGUCAAUGGGCGCGAGCCUGAACCAGCCAAGUAGCGUGAAGGAUGACUGCCCUACGGGUUGUAAACUUCUUUUAUAAAGGAAUAAAGCGAGGCACGUGUGCCUUUUUGUAUGUACUUUAUGAAUAAGGAUCGGCUAACUCCGUGCCAGCAGCCGCGGUAAUACGGAGGAUCCGAGCGUUAUCCGGAUUUAUUGGGUUUAAAGGGAGCGUAGAUGGGUUGUUAAGUCAGUUGUGAAAGUUUGCGGCUUAACCGUAAAAUUGCAAUUGAUACUGGGCGUCUUGCGGACAGUUGAGGUAGGCGGAAUUCGUUGUGGAGCGGUGGAAUGCUUAGCUAUCACGAAGAACUCCGAUUGCGAAGGCAACUUACUAAGCUGCCACUGACAUUGGUGCUCGGAAGUGUGGGUAUCAAACAGGAUUUGGUACCCCAGUAGUC
rnacentral:rRNA from 1 species